CGCAGCGUAGCUUAGUUGGACAAAGCCCCUGCUGUCUUCGGACGGAGUAAUUGCUUCGGAUGGGCAGGGAGGUCGCAGGUUCGAGUCCUGCCGCUGCGU
rnacentral:tRNA from 1 species